AACGAACGCUGGCGGCAUGCCUAACACAUGCAAGUCGAACGAGACCAUCGGGCCUAGUGGCGCACGGGUGCGUAACGCGUGGGAACCUGCCCUUAGGUUCGGAAUAACUCCCCGAAAGGGGUGCUAAUACCGGAUAAUGUCUUCGGACCAAAGAUUUAUCGACUUUGGAUGGGCCCGCGUUGGCUUAGCUAGUUGUUAGGGUAAAAGCCUAUCAAGGCGACGAUCGAUAGCUGGUCUGAGAGGAUGAUCAGCCACACUGGGACUGAGACACGGCCCAGACUCCUACGGGAUGCAGCAGUGGGGAAUAUUGGACAAUGGGCGAAAGCCUGAUCCAGCAAUGCCGCGUGAGUGAUGAAGGCCUUAGGGUUGUAAAGCUCUUUUACCCGGGAUGAUAAUGACAGUACCGGGAGAAUAAGCUCCGGCUAACUCCGUG
rnacentral:rRNA from 1 species